rnacentral:rRNA from 1 species
CACAGGCGUUGCAUGGCUGUCGUCAGCCCGUAGUGCCGAGCCGUCCAGGCCUUAAAACCGCCUGGGAACGGGCGCCUCUCCUAUUUGAACAAACACAUCUGUUUUCAAAACUGCCCAGCUCCUAAGUAGAUAGCCACCACUUAAACUACGAUGCGUAGCUGGGAGGAAGCAGGAACCACGUCAAGUCCUCAUGGCCCUGAUGGGGUGGGCUACACGUGUGUAACAGGGAUUCUCACAAUAGGUUGCUAAGGUGAAAGCCUGCGCUUGUCCCUAAAGAGAAUCACGGUGCCUAUGGUUUCCUGAAACUCGGAAACCUUAAGGCGGAAUCGCCAGUAAUCGCAGAUUAGCCCGCUGCGGUGAAAUUUUAGUGGAAUGCCCGGGGUACUCACCGCCCGUCACGUUCGGAAAGUGUUCUGUGCUAGAAAUCUAAGAAAGCUUUUUUGAAACCCCUGGGUGUCCCCAAAGUGGAAAGCUUUGUACAGGGUUUUUGAAAGGGUCUAUUGGCUUAAGGUGUGGAGUGCAAUUGGAAUGAAGUCGUAACAAGGUUGCUGUACGGGAACGUGCAGCAG